rnacentral:rRNA from 1 species
UACGUAGGGUGCGAGCGUUAAUCGGAAUUACUGGGCGUAAAGCGUGCGCAGGCGGCGCGUUAAGACAGGUGUGAAAGCCCCGAGCUUAACUUGGGAAUUGCGCUUGUGACUGGCGAGCUGGAGUGUGGCAGAGGGAGGUGGAAUUCCACGUGUAGCAGUGAAAUGCGCAGAUAUCAGGAGGAACACCGAUUGCGAAGGCAGCUCGCUGGGACGUCACUGACGCUGAGACGCGAAAGCGUGGGGAGCAAACAGG